CGAGAUUAGUUAAUAAUUAGUUGAAGUAGUUAUGAAAUGGGGCAGAGAGCAGAGAGGGCCAACCGCAGAUGCAUGAAAGUGUCUGUUUAUUUCUUUCAGGUGUCAAAUAGAGAGUAAUUACUCAUCCUAUUCAUAGUGAUUACAAGCAUAGUUGACCUAUCAUCUGUGUAGUGUGGUUGUUAUACACACUCUUUUCAUUUGUGUUUUCGCGUCCUAAGCCAUUUAUUCUGUUUAUCGCAGGUUGCUUCAUGUCCUCUCAUCCUACUUUUAUAUCUGAUGCAUAACAUUAAGAAAAUCCAUAGGUAACCAGAAUAACAAGCGAGGCAUUUCCUUGCAGAAAAUUUAUAAUGUUAUUUGCAUCAGUGAUUGAUAAAUAAAUUUCUGUAUUGAUAUACUUACUAAGUGAGUUACUCGUUGUACGUACUUUUCUAGCUGCUAAAUAGCUUUAAGAAAGGCCAUAGUUAACCAGAAUAACAACUGAUGCCUUUCCUUGCAGAAAAUCUAUAAUGUUAUUUGCAAGGGUGAUGAUAGCGGGUCUUCCGAAUCGCUUCCUCAGCCUAACAACGCAGCCUACAAACCAGUUAUUAUCAACAUAGUAAUGAUACUGGUAAGCACACAACGCCAGAUUACUUUUGAAUCCUACUGCUUAUACUCACGGUUGAAGGGGAGAAUAGGGAUUGGUGGAAUAGUUGAUGUAUUGCUUGAGCCUCGUGGGCACAUAUAUAGGAGUACAUG
rnacentral:lncRNA from 1 species